UACGGAGGAUCCAAGCGUUAUCCGGAUUCAUUGGGUUUAAAGGGUGCGUAGGCGGAAUGAUAAGUCAGUGGUGAAAUCCUUCAGCUUAACUGGAGAACUGCCAUUGAUACUGUCAAUCUUGAGUACAUUUGAUGUGGGCGGAAUGUGUCAUGUAGCGGUGAAAUGCUUAGAUAUGACACAGAACACCGAUUGCGAAGGCAGCUCACAAAACUGUAACUGACGCUGAGGCACGAAAGCGUGGGUAGUCAAACAGGA
rnacentral:rRNA from 1 species